CGUCAUAUCAGUGGAAACGAGUGUUGGAUUGAAGAAAAGGCGAAGUUAACAAGUUAGUAAGCGUCAAGAUGGGCUGUGGAUCCAGUAUACACCCAUUCUCCAUAUCCAAUGCCACUACUUAUCGACUAUGGAGCCCAGUAAGCAAAAUGGGUGACGGUGUUAUGAAGAGGCAUCCCAUUGAAAACAAAGUGUUUUGCGAUGGAACUUUUAAGGAGCCUGAUGAUACCACUACUAUGAAAAUGGAGGUUAAACCGCAGGGGACUA